UAGACUGUUCGACGCGCGGCGUAAGACGAUUGUCGAGGUGCCGUUAGGACAAGUUGACUGCAAAUCCUUUGGCGCUAAUCCACCGAAACGUUCUGCUAAUGUGGCGCUGGACCAUUGCUGUUGUGUGAGAAGCGCGGUCGCACGUCACAGAUUUUGCACCUUGUACACAAGCAGAUGGGAGAAAGGGCGAAACUGUGAAAAUUGCCCAACUUCCCCAACAUCACCGGCGUCCUUCGUGUUUCCACCUUUGUCAAGAUCUCUUCGUCAAGUGCGAUUCUUCCCAUGUCUGCAAGUUCCCAGGUUCCAGCAUUCACGGCCAGUCAUCGAGUCACCGCAGCACCGUGUUCACGCUGGAUCUCCUCCCUUCACCUGCAUUACCUACAGCGUCAAAGCUGUUACUGGGGAUGCCCUGGAAAAUACAGCUCCAGAUACACUUCCUGUGCCUAAGGGGUAUAAACAGAAAGAGAGAAGCAGCUUUUGUUUGGUGGGGGGUCACAACAGGACACCCUUUGUGUGCAGUGCAGUAAGAUUUGUGAGACCAGGGAAGGGGAAAUUUAUGUGACACGCAUGGAGGUGUGUGGGCCAGUGAUUCAACAGACAUUGUGUCUCAUCCGAUCUCCUGCUGCUGUGAGUAUCUGUGAUUCAAUCUCCGCAGCAUCAGUUGUUGAAUGAUUCGGUUCAGAUGUUUCUGUAAUUACCCAGCGUCUCUCUCAGAUACAUUCAGUUGUCCAAAGAUGAAAAACAGUCAUCAACAAGG